rnacentral:rRNA from 1 species
GACGAACGCUGGCGGCGUGCUUAACACAUGCAAGUCGAACGAAGUGGCGAACGGGUGAGUAACGCGUAAUCAACCUGCCCUUCAGGGGGGGACAACAGUUGGAAACGACUACUAAUACCGCAUAGUGAAGGUGGGGCUUGCGUUUGAUUAGCUCGUUGGAGGGGUAACGGGCCACCAAGGCGAUGAUCAGUAGCCGGUCUUGGAGGAUGAACGGCCACAUUGGGACUGGGACACGGCCCAGACUCCUACGGGAGGCAGCAGUGGGGAAUCUUCCGAAAUGGACGAAAGUCUGACGGAGCAACGCCGCGUGAGUGAUGACGGCCUUCGGGUUGUAAAGCUCUGUUAAUCGGGACGCGGUACCGGAAUAGAAAGCCACGGCUAACUACGUGCCAGCAGCCGCGGUAAUAC